rnacentral:rRNA from 1 species
CCUACGGGGUGCACCAGUGGGGAAUAUUGCACAAUGGGCGCAAGCCUGAUGCAGCCAUGCCGCGUGAGUGAAGAAGGCCUUCGGGUUGUAAAGCACUUUCAGCGGGGAGGAAGGCGGUGAGGUUAAUAACCUCACCGAUUGACGUUACCCGCAGAAGAAGCACCGGCUAACUCCGUGCCAGCAGCCGCGGUAAAACGGAGGGUGCAAGCGUUAAUCGGAAUUACUGGGCGUAAAGCGCACGCAGGCGGUCUGUCAAGUCGGAUGUGAAAUCCCCGGGCUCAACCUGGGAACUGCAUUAGAAACUGGCAGGCUGGAGUCUUGUAGAGGGGGGUAGAAUUCCAGGUGUAGCGGUGAAAUGCGUAGAGAUCUGGAGGAAUACCGGUGGCGAAGGCGGCCCCCUGGACAAAGACUGACGCUCAGGUGCGAAAGCGUGGGGAGCAAACAGGAUUAGAUACCCGGGUAGUC